rnacentral:rRNA from 1 species
AUUGAACGCUGGCGGCAUGCCUUACACAUGCAAGUCGAACGGCAGCACGGGAGCAAUCCUGGUGGCGAGUGGCGAACGGGUGAGUAAUAUAUCGGAACGUGCCCAGUCGUGGGGGAUAACGCAGCGAAAGCUGUGCUAAUACCGCAUACGAUCUCUGGAUGAAGGCGGGGGACCGUAAGGCCUCGCGCGAUUGGAGCGGCCGAUAUCAGAUUAGCUAGUUGGUGGGGUAAAGGCCCACCAAGGCGACGAUCUGUAGCUGGUCUGAGAGGACGACCAGCCACACUGGAACUGAGACACGGUCCAGACUCCUACGGGAGGCAGCAGUGGGGAAUUUUGGACAAUGGGCGCAAGCCUGAUCCAGCAAUGCCGCGUGCAGGAUGAAGGCCUUCGGGUUGUAAACUGCUUUUGUACGGAACGAAACGGCGAGCUCUAAUAAAGUUUGCUAAUGACGGUACCGUAAGAAUAAGCACCGGCUAACUACGUGCCAGCCGCCGCGGUAA